rnacentral:rRNA from 1 species
CCUACGGGAGGCAGCAGUGAGGAAUAUUGGUCAAUGGGCGCGAGCCUGAACCAGCCAAGUAGCGUGAAGGAUGACUGCCCUACGGGCUGUAAACUUCUUUUAUAAAGGAAUAAAGUGAGGCAAGUGUGCCUUUUUGUAUGUACUUUAUGAAUAAGGAUCGGCUAACUUCGUGCCAGCAGCCGCGGUAAUACGGAGGAGCCGAGCGUUACCCGGAUUUAUUGGGUUUAACGGGACCGUAGAUGGGUUGUUAAGUCGGUUGUGAAAGUUUGCGGCUCAACCGUAAAAUUGCAGUUGAUACUGGCAGUCUUGAGUACAGAUGAGGUAGGCGGAAUUCGUGGUGUAGCGGUGAAAUGCGUAGAUAUCACGAAGAACUCCAAUGGCGAAGGCAGCUUACUAAACUGCCACUGACAUUGAUGCUCGAAAGUGUGGGUAUCAAACAGGAUUAGAUACCCUGGUAGUC